UACGUAGGUGGCAAGCGUUGUCCGGAUUUACUGGGCGUAAAGAGCGCGCAGGCGGUCGUUCAAGUCGCGUGUGAAAGCCCCCGGCUCAACUGGGGAGGGUCACGCGAUACUGAUCGACUCGAAGGCAGGAGAGGGUAGUGGAAUUCCCGGUGUAGUGGUGAAAUGCGUAGAUAUCGGGAGGAACACCAGUGGCGAAGGCGGCUCACUGGCCCGGUACUGACGCUGAGGUGCGAAAGCGUGGGGAGCAAACAGG
rnacentral:rRNA from 1 species